rnacentral:rRNA from 1 species
UACGGGGGGGGCAAGCGUUGUUCGGAAUUACUGGGCGUAAAGGGCGCGUAGGCGGCCUUCUAAGUCAGACGUGAAAUCCCCAGGCUUAACUUGGGAACUGCGUCUGAUACUGGGAGGCUUGAGUGCGGGAGAGGGAUGUGGAAUUCCAGGUGUAGCGGUGAAAUGCGUAGAUAUCUGGAGGAACACCGGUGGCGAAGGCGGCAUCCUGGACCGACACUGACGCUGAGGCGCGAAAGCCAGGGGAGCAAACGGG